rnacentral:rRNA from 1 species
CCCCUAGAUGUUCUGGGCCGCACGCGCGCUACACUGAACAGUUCAACAAGUCUUAACCUUGGCCGAUAGGUCUGGGUAAUCUUUGAACGCUGUUCGUGAUUGGGAUAGACCUUUGCAAUUAUGGGUCUUCAACGAGGAAUUCCUAGUAAACGCAAGUCAUCAGCUUGCAUUGAUUACGUCCCUGCCCUUUGUACACACCGCCCGUCGCACCUACCGAUUGAAUGGUCCGGGGAAAUCUCGGGACGGCGGCUUGGUCGCUUGCGUCCGACUGCUGAAACUUGAUUAAACCAUAUCAUUUAGAGGAAGGUGAAGUCGUAACA